UUAUAAUGAAACGGUAAUGAU
rnacentral:miRNA from 1 species